rnacentral:rRNA from 1 species
GAGUUUGAUCCUGGCUCAGAUUGAACGCUGGCGGCAGGCCUAACACAUGCAAGUCGAGCGGAUGAAGGGAGCUUGCUCCUGGAUUCAGCGGCGGACGGGUGAGUAAUGCCUAGGAAUCUGCCUGGUAGUGGGGGAUAACGUCCGGAAACGGGCGCUAAUACCGCAUACGUCCUGAGGGAGAAAGUGGGGGAUCUUCGGACCUCACGCUAUCAGAUGAGCCUAGGUCGGAUUAGCUAGUUGGUGGGGUAAAGGCCUACCAAGGCGACGAUCCGUAACUGGUCUGAGAGGAUGAUCAGACACACUGGAACUGAGACACGGGUCCAGACUCCUACGGGAGGCAGCAGUGGGGAAUAUUGGACAAUGGGCGAAAGCCUGAUCCAGCCAUGCCGCGUGUGUG